ACACACACACAGACACACACAGACGGAUGGAUGGACACACACAUGCGCACAGACCCCAGGAACUGGAGUCUGUAGAUGAGCCACAUGCAGGUUUUGGAUUAGGACUGGACUGGACUAUCUAAUCUGGAAUCUACAGCAGCACAUGGUGACUGACAGCUGCAGGGUUUAAGCUGGUGCUCUGUGAGCACCGGCACAUGUGUUGGUGCCAGUUGGAGAAGGAUGGCAGUGGACUCUCCUCCUCCUCCUCCUCCUCCUGCGUGUGCUGGGUGGUGCUCACCGUGGAGGGUGAAAGACAGAUGAUAUUAAGACACGUCUCAUGUCUCUUAUUGUAAAGUCGUCUGUGUUUUCAAAGCAAAUGUAUAUGUUGUGUUAAACACACACACACACACACACACACACAGUGUCAGUGUAAUAGGCCUGUGAUGACAUCACUGCGACGGUUGUUAUUAAUCUUCACACGUGCGACGACCACGUGCAUGUGCAUGCUGCUAAACUCAGGUCAGUCUUUCAUCACUGACCAGAAAACCUUAGACUGGCGGCUUCUUGAUAUCAUGUCCGUUCAUUUCAUAAUAUAUGAUUAUUGUCCAAACAUGAACGGAUGUGAACGUUGUUACGUUUCUUCAUUUUCAGGAAUGAAAAAACCUCAGUAACAAAACAAACGCGUCAUGUGAUCGAACCAAAGAAGGAAGUCAUGAUCCCCUGUUUCUAUGAUCAGCACCAGUGCUGGUUCUGAAUGAACUGGAUCAGAUCUGAGUCAAAGCUGAGCUCUCAGAAAACAUGAACAAACACAACUCACUGAGACUCAAGUCUGGAAACUGUAGCUCAUCAUUGAACUGGACUUCAUUUUCAUCAAUUGUAUUUUUCAACUGAUAAUUUACUCCCAAGACGAGGAAACAUGGAUUAAUGUCCACAUUUCAGUGACAAAACUGACACAUAAGUCAUCAUAACUAGCACAUGUCAAAGUAAGACUGAAGUUAACCUGCGGGAACAGUAGAGAGCUUCUGUUUGUUUUAACUUAUAACAGUAAUCAAUCAUGUGAUGAUCAGACAACUGUGUGUGUGUGUGUUUGAUGUCACACACGAGCUGCACUGUGUGUGUGUGUGUGUGUGAACAUGAACAAGUCACAACCCACUGAUGUCGCCUGACGCUGCUGUCACGUUGUUUUUCUGUUUGUUUUGUAUAAAUGUCAAAAGGCCAACACGUGUCGUCUCUAAUAAACAUGUAGAGGGCUUGGAAA